UACAGAGGUCUCAAGCGUUGUUCGGAUUCAUUGGGCGUAAAGGGUGCGUAGGUGGCGUCGUAAGUCGGGUGUGAAAUUUCGGAGCUCAACUCCGAAACUGCAUUCGAUACUGCGGUGCUUGAGGACUGGAGAGGAGACUGGAAUUUACGGUGUAGCAGUGAAAUGCGUAGAGAUCGUAAGGAAGACCAGUGGCGAAGGCACUCUGCUAGGCCUGAUUUCGCGACUGACACUCAGGGACGAGAGCCAGGGGAGCGAAUGGG
rnacentral:rRNA from 1 species